UACGGGGGGGGCAAGCGUUGUUCGGAAUUACUGGGCGUAAAGGGUUUGUAGGUGGCCCGCUAAGUCACACGUGAAAUCCCUCAGCUUAACUGGGGAACUGCGUGUGAGACUGGCAGGCUCGAGGGCAGGAGAGGAACGCGGAAUUCCAGGUGUAGCGGUGAAAUGCGUAGAUAUCUGGAGGAACACCGGUGGCGAAGGCGGCAUCCUGGACCAAUAUUGACGCUGAGGAGCGAAAGCCAGGGGAGCAAACGGG
rnacentral:rRNA from 1 species